rnacentral:rRNA from 1 species
UAACGCGUAGGUAACCUGCCUUGUAGCGGGGGAUAACUAUUGGAAACGAUAGCUAAUACCGCAUAACAAUGGAUGACACAUGUCAUUUAUUUGAAAGGGGCAAUUGCUCCACUACAAGAUGGACCUGCGUUGUAUUAGCUAGUAGGUGAGGUAACGGCUCACCUAGGCGACGAUACAUAGCCGACCUGAGAGGGUGAUCGGCCACACUGGGACUGAGACACGGCCCAGACUCCUACGGGAGGCAGCAUG